rnacentral:rRNA from 1 species
UACAGAGGGUGCGAGCGUUAAUCGGAAUUACUGGGCGUAAAGCGCGCGUAGGCGGCUUUGUAAGUUAGAGGUGAAAGCCCAGGGCUUAACCCUGGAAUUGCCUUUAAGACUGCAUCGCUAGAAUCGUGGAGAGGUGAGUGGAAUUCCGAGUGUAGAGGUGAAAUUCGUAGAUAUUCGGAAGAACACCAGUGGCGAAGGCGACUCACUGGACACGUAUUGACGCUGAGGUGCGAAAGCGUGGGGAGCAAACAGG